GAUGAACGCUGGCGGCGUGCCUAAUACAUGCAAGUCGAGCGAACAGAUAAGGAGCUUGCUCCUUUGACGUUAGCGGCGGACGGGUGAGUAACACGUGGGUAACCUACCUAUAAGACUGGAAUAACUCCGGGAAACCGGGGCUAAUGCCGGAUAACAUUUAGAACCGCAUGGUUCUAAAGUGAAAGAUGGUUUUGCUAUCACUUAUAGAUGGACCCGCGCCGUAUUAGCUAGUUGGUAAGGUAACGGCUUACCAAGGCAACGAUACGUAGCCGACCUGAGAGGGGGAUCGGCCACACUGGAACUGAGACACGGUCCAGAGUCCUACGGGAGGCAGCAGUAGGGAAUCUUCCGCAAUGGGCGGAAGCCUGACGGAGCAACGCCGCGUGAGUGAUGAAGGUCUUCGGAUCGUAAAACUCUGUUAUUAGGGAAGAACAAAUGUGUAAGUAACUGUGCACGUCUUGACGGUACCUAAUCAGAAAGCCACGGCUAACUACGUG
rnacentral:rRNA from 1 species